UUCCUUUCCACAGACCCCCACAAAUGCUCAGUGUGUCUGUGUAAAAGCCAUACUAAUUGCAGUCAUUUAGGUGAAUUGAUUACCAUUUAGGCCUAAGUGCCAACAGCACCGUAAUGAUUCUGCCUAUCAUUAUAUGUGUCAGAUGAAGUCGACUGUAAGCUUUAUUUGAUUACAACAAUAAAUUCUCUCUGUCUCUGGCUUUGUAAACUCAAACUUCAGUUACCUUUGGCUCAACGGCUUGUCAUCUCCAUCAGGAUGGCCCUGCGGGGAAAAGUGAGAAAGUCAUGGCUCCCUCCUUCUCCCCCACCCCCCACCCGGCUUAUUUGGCUCAAGACAAAGCCUUUUCCUGGACUCCUGCCAUUUGGGGUCUAUCUGCUAUCCGGAGACGCCAGCCUCCUCUGUUGCUCUGUUCAUUUUGGCCUGAGCACAGACUGGGGCCUGCCGAAUCUCAAGAACCCCUUGUUUCUUUCCUGCAGUUCCCUGAAGUUGCUUCUCCUGUGCAGGGUCUCUUGGUGCUUGGCCCUCCCUCCAGGGAGGCUGAGUUGUCACUUUCUCUUCAGAGGAAGACAGAGUGUCUCGGAACAAAGUGUCCUGACUGAAGAUGGGGCCCCAGUGGAGGUGUGUGAGCCGAUUACUCAGAAGAGAGUUACUCCUCUUUAUAUUAAAAUAUUCCGUUAAUUAUGUCAGGGCCUAUCAUGUUCACACGGUGGCACUUUACAAAAGAUACACAAAUCGGGGCCCAGUAGGCUCUUGGGGCCAGAAUACCUGCCAGGCCCUAGAAUGCUCAAUAGAACCUGGGAAGAUCAGAGCAUCUUAAACGCAUCAAAGGCCCACCCUUUAGAGUCUCUCCGUGUGAGACGGGCCAUUUGCAGCCGCCACAGAAUGGAGGAUUCUGCCUUUGAAUUCCCACUUCUCUUUAGAAUCUUCCAGGUAUGGAAGGGCGACUGCGGCGGCUGGGAGGUUUAGAAUCUUUGUCUGAACAGAAGGAAACGGCGCAGGCCCAGAAAAGCCAGGGGUCCCUCUAAGGCCCAGCCAAUGAGGAGAGAGCUUCUCAGCGACCACGCCCACUGGGGGGCCGUGCCCGGGGCGUGGCCAGAAUGGUGCCUUGGCCCCGGGGCAGGGGCUGCCUGGCUGCUGUAUCUUGCCCCUCCCGUGGAAAAAAAGGAGCUACACCAAGGGGAGGGAGGCAAACUGGGUCCCUGAGAGUUUCCCACAGAGUGUGUGUGUGUGCGUCUGUGUAGGUUGUUGGUUUUAAUGCAUUAAGUAAAUUUACUGUUACUAUUUAUGCUGGCUACCCAGGCGAUGGGCGCCAUUAAUUAAUUAAUUUUUGACUAUUCGGUAGCUGAAGGGAAGGCUUCUUCACCUAAAGAGGCCCCAAAUAUCAAUGAAGGACCCCAGCAUGUGUGGCAGCUCUUCAGCCUCGCGGAUUCCCACAGGCGUCCCGCAGAGGUCUGGGCCAGCAGCGGGCGCGUCAGAGGCCAAGGCUCUGGAGCUCAGAAGACUCUUAAGAGGCUACAGGGGGAGCAGCUGGAUUCCGAUGACUUGUCCUCCCUGAGGAGGCAGCAAAGAAGACUCCUUAGCUCAGUCUAUUAUGCGAACACCACUUUCCUCCAUCGCCAAACUCCCUUGGCUGGGGUCCAGGCACUUGGCUAGGAUGGAAUCUGAGCUUGGGGCGAGGUCGGGGACCUCUUGAACAGGACAGCUCUCCAUCAGGCCACUGAAGUUUCCCUCCUUUGUGGGAAUUCAGCGCAGACUUGACUGGCAGCCUAGGCACACCCAAGCCACCCCAGAGCUUUCUUGUGGCAGUGCUGAUGGCAUUAGGCUGCCUUUUGGAGCUCAGCAGGGUGAGUGUCGUUUUUGAUGGGCCCUUUGCAGGAAGAAGGUGAGAGCAGCUCCCACCUUCUCACUCUGGCCCCAGAUGUCACAGUGUGCCAGUUCCUGUGGUCCUGACACAUGCAGUUUUGGCUUUAUGUGCUUGCUUUAUGGGCUUUUCAAGCACAUAUCCAAUGUUUCUUUUUUAGUUGGUUUUUAUGGCCACCCAGACUAGUGUUUUCAGUGGGGUGGGUGAGAGUGCAGAGUGAAAUCAGACUCACUGUUCUCUACUGCAUUGAAGAAUGUCCCCACAAAUUCAUGCUUACCUAAAAUCUGAGAAUGUGAUCUUAUUUGGGAAGAAGGUCUUUUCUGCUGAGAGCCACAGCCGAGUCUGUAUGGCCCCUGGCAUUUUGCCAACAGUAUUGAUUGACAGGCGAGGCAUUACUAUCCGCCUCUGCCGCAACUUUUGAGUUCUCACACUAUUUUGGAGUUCUCG
rnacentral:lncRNA from 1 species